ACAAUCUGUGUUCACAGUCAGAAUGUGCUAUAUGUAAUACAGGUUGCUUUUACUCAGGCUUAAAAGGGGAUUAAACAUUCUCAUGAAAGCUGAGCACUGCUUGCUCAGAGUAAAGGAAAAAGAAACACUCUUCAUUGCAUUUCAGCCUGCACCUGUAUCUAAGUUACUGUUUAUCAUAAAGAGAAGGCAUCAGUCACCAGUUUUUUGUACUGGGAGGCAGCCUGGGAUAAAUAACAAAUCCUGUAAUUAGGCGCCAAUAGAAUCUAAUUGACUUACGUUAGUCUUCAAGCUGAAAUCUAGCCUUUCUCUCUUGUCAUGGCAUGGAGCAUCCUUUGUUUAAUGAACACUGAAGGGAAAUCGAGUGAGGUAAGAAAAAAUAGCUCUUCUGAAUGGAUGCAGCCUUGUGCAAGUGUUUGAAGUUGUUAUUUUAAGUGCUUAUUUUAGCGACUUUUGAGCUGAGCAUUUAGAAUAUAUAGAGUAGCAUUUAGGAAAAAUGUUAAUGUGGUUGCUUACUUUAACAUGAGCUGCAGCUCUGCCAGCAAAGAUGAGACAUGCCAUUUAAGGAACACAAGCUUUGAGUGAAGUUUUUACUCGACUUUAUUUAGAAACUUGCUGGAGUGCACCGGAUGCUGGGGGAAACCAGAACACACUUUUUGGAUUGUCAGACCAAAGGCAGGAAGGUUCCCACAGAGCCCUCCUCCUUAUGUAGCUUCUGUUUCUUAUUUAGAUUUUGUUUUUUAAUACCCAAGAGCUUUUAGUGGUGUUCUGACAAUUGUGGCCUGGAAAUUUGUCUAAAUUAAAGCAGGUUUUGUUUGUUUACUUAAAAGUGCUAACAGACUCAGACAGUCCCACAGCAUUUUUCAGGGCUUACAUCAUUCUAAAAUAGAUUCAAUUGAUUCAAAACAAAUUUGACAAAAAAAAAAAAUUUUCUUUGCCCACUUGAUGUAUUUGUAUCUACACGAAAAGAACAGCUGAGUCUUGGCAGGUAUGCUGAGUGUAGUAUCUGGAAUUGAUAUGAAAUAUCAAUUAAGAAGGUUAUUUUAGUUGCUGGAAGGUACAAGAGAACACAAGGAGUUAAACAAGCUAGUCUGAAGAUGUGAGACUAAAUGCAGGAGAGGUUGGGAGCCAGAUCCUCAGCUAAUGUGAGUAAAUGUGAGUUCCACUGAGGGCAUAUCAGAUGAAGGGCAGCUCCCAUACUGUUUAGCUUCUUUUUUUGGAUGAUUUGAGGUUUUAUGAAUCCCCACGUAAAGAAAGAUGUGAAGAGCCAGGUAUGCCUUCACAAACUGUCUGAAAAGUUGAGGAUGAUCAGUUGAGUCAUGGAAGUUUUCUUCACAUUUGUUCAUUGCAGCUAUAUGAUACAGCAGCUGUAUUACAACACGUAUAAAAAAUACAAAUUAACAUCAAACCCUUAUCCACAUUUAUUUAUCACAUAAUUAAACACAGGAUCACAGUGUUUUUAACUCUAGUUUUGCCUUCCCAGACUCUCAGUCAGGCCCCAGGAAAAGCACAUGAAAACUGCUGUGAGAGGAGGAAGCUACUUUGCAGUCCAGGAGCGCUUGCUGUGCUACUCCUACCACUUCACUGCUGGUUUUCUUGAGGACAGAUGCAUUAGCUCAAGUGCCGUGAGGUACUAGAGCCGCGCAGAAAGGAGAGAUGGCUAAGCAGAGGAUCUCGGUGCUCCAGAGGGUUAAAUCCUGGGGUGCUCCAACAGUGGUAGGACUAACCUCCUCUGUAGUCCCAGGAUAGAGGGGAGGAGUGUGACAGGCAUAUGGAAGUGCCCGUUUCUCCACUGACCGCAGAGGGAGCAUCAGGAGAUUGUUCUCAUGGAGUUGAAAUUAGCUUUUGAAGGUAGCCACCUCUCUCUUUCUCAUUCAGAGAAAUGUCAUCUGCUGUUGGUGGCGUGUCCUGUGGAAAAGUGAGAGACUGAAGGAAGAAGGAUCUUGGUGGGUACACAAAAUCUACCUGAAGAGCCUUACGCUGCUUGUGGGUGCUCAGGCUGGGGCACCCCGUUAUCCAGCAGUCCCAGGGCAGCCUGGUCCAUCCUUCAGCGGAUGGAGCCGUCAGCCUUGUUGGGAGGGAAGAGGAACCGAGGCAGAAUGGUCGAUGCCAACAUUUGCGUGCAUCCAGGUCUCUGACCAUUAUCCCCUGGUCUCAGCAGAACAGCAGCAGAGUAUUUAACAGCUUCAUUAAUGCCAGAGUAAUAAUUACGUACUGCAGGAGUGGCUAUCGCAUCAGGAAUUUUUGUGCCAGAACUGCAACUGCAUUCUGCAGAACUCGAGCAACAUUUGUAAAGCAGCAGCAGGCAGAAGAGUGGCCCCGGAGGCAGGACAAUCCCCACUGAGUGGUCCAGGGCUUUAGGAUGGUAUGCCUUUUUGCUUGGUUUCACUAUACAGUACCACAAACAGCUAUAUGAGCAUGGAGCGGGGAUAACUCACGUGCCUGGGGCUGGGGAGAGGAAAGGCUGCCUGAGCUGAUGCUGCCACCAACAGAAAUAUCUUUGGAACCGGGGCCAAGUAAUCAGGAGGUUACAAACCUGGCAAAAGGCAGUCUCCCAGGAUGGAUGUACACUUGAAGCCAUUCCGAUGUUUCAUGCUCCUGCAUGUGCUGCCUACUCGGAUAUACAAUUCCUUGGAGGCCCUUAACCCAACUGUGCCAUGUUUGAGCUGCUAUCUGUGAUGUCCAUCACUGGAGUGGAUGAAAACACAGACAUACGCUGGUCCACACCCAAUGAAUUACGGCUUUUCUUGCCCAGUUCGUUACCGAGACAGGCAGGACUUGGUGAGGAAGCAGAGGACAGAGGGACAGCUGAGUGGAGCCGGUUGCUCUGAAGGACCUAAGCUGGCCAUUGCCACCCACCCAGUGCUGCUGAGG